rnacentral:rRNA from 1 species
GAUGAACGCUGGCGGCGUGCCUAAUACAUGCAAGUCGAACGAGGUGCUUUUGUAGCAAUACGAGAGUAUCCUAGUGGCGAACGGGUGAGUAACGCGUGGAUGACCUGCCCCAAAGUGUGGGAUAACAGUCCGAAAGGAUUGCUAAUACCUCAUGUGGUUAUCGGUUUUAGAAAGCGAUAACUAAAGCAGCAAUGCGCUUUGGGAGGGAUCUGCGUCCCAUCAGCUAGUUGGUGAGGUAACGGCUCACCAAGGCGACGACGGGUAGGGGACCUGAGAGGGUGGCCCCCCACAAUGGAACUGAAACACGGUCCAUACACCUACGGGUGGCAGCAGUAGGGAAUAUUGCUCAAUGGGCGAAAGCCUGAAGCAGCAACGCCGCGUGUGCGAUGAAGGCCUU